rnacentral:rRNA from 1 species
CAGCCGCCGCGGUAAUACAGAGGGUGCGAGCGUUAAUCGGAUUUACUGGGCGUAAAGCGUGCGUAUGCGGCUUCUUAAGUCGGAUGUGAAAUCCCUGAGCUUAACUUAGGAAUUGCAUUCGAUACUGGGAAGCUAGAGUAUGGGAGAGGAUGGUAGAAUUCCAGGUGUAGCGGUGAAAUGCGUAGAGAUCUGGAGGAAUACCGAUGGCGAAGGCAGCCAUCUGGCCUAAUACUGACGCUGAGGUACGAAAGCAUGGGGAGCAAACAGGAUUAGAUACCCCGGUAGUCCCUGUCUCUUAUAC